CCAAAAUAAACCCGUGCGCCUCUCUUCCCCGUGCCCCAAAAUAAACCCUCGGCGAUCCCAGACGCCACCGCCUCUCUUCUCCAGAUGCCACCGCCUCUCUUCUCCAGACGCCACCACCUCUUACCCUCGCGACACACGCCGUGGCUGUUCGCCUUCUCUCACGGAUCGCCGUUCGCCACCACACCACCGUCAUUCUCCCGACGCCACCGUCUCUCACCCUCACGAUGCACACCGCGGCCGUUCACCUCCUCUCACAGACUGCAGUUCGCCACCACCGCUGUUCACAGCCUCUCACAGACCGCCAUUCACCUCCUCUCACCGGUCUCCAUUCGUCUCCUCUCACCCACACCACCGGCCUCCAUUUACCCGAGCCCGGACUAGGGUUGGGGUUCGCUUCCUGCCAACCGGUGGGAGGUUAAGCUCCGAGGACUUUCGGGAGCCACCGUAUGGCCAUGGCCCGGGUGCCCAGCACGACUUCUAGGCUUCCCUCGAGCUUGAUGGCCCUCGGGUUCCCUCGGAAGGGGCCCCAUCCUCACUGAAGAGGAAAUUUAGGAAAGAGGAUGACUUCGCAUGGCACCGGCAGCAUGUGAUGCAUUAUGAAAACGCCAAUGCCAGCCCUAGUGGGUUCCCUUUGGGAUCUGGUCGAGAUCAGCCAGACUACUUGCACAGGACUGGCAGCCCACUGCGUCAGGAUUAUCAUGAUGAUCUAAGGUCACCGAAGUAGAUAAAGCUGGGAGGGGAAGGCUAUCAGGACUUGCCCUCGAGGAGGACUCUGCCUGAUGAUGUGCUUGCUGCGGCCUUGGAUGUGGAUCCACAUGCUUUGAAGAAAGCAUUCCUCAGGAUCUCAAAGACAAUCAAUGAGAGUCUUACCCAGAGGAAGAAUUAUUUGUAGGAUGGAAAAAAUGGGCCUUUGCAGUGCAUUGUUUGUGGCAGGAUGCACGAGCAUGAGUGGAUGAAGGAAAAGAGGUUGUACUAGAAGGAGUUGGAAAAGUAGUUAAAGCAGUCACAGAAGUAUAACCAAGAGAUGAAGAAUGAGAUUAUAGACAUUAAGGUGUAGAUGAAGCUUCAAAAAGCACAAAUAGAGCUUCAAAAUAUAUAUAUGGAGUGUCAACAAAGGAUUUUGGAAGCUCUAUAGCAUCACAAAAUAUCUCUUUAUCAAAUUUAUGACAGAUCCCAUGACUCAAGGACUUGUGAAGAUGUGAUUUUGAGGACAUGUAUGGGAGAAGGGUCUUAUGCGCUUUGGAUUGUCGGCUUAUGAACUCAUUUGUUUUAUUAUAGAUAAUUGAUAAUGAGUUUGUUUGCUUUUGAUUAGAAGCAAAUUGGUAGCUUAAA